rnacentral:rRNA from 1 species
UGGGAAUUUUGGACAAUGGGCGCAAGCCUGAUCCAGCCAUGCCGCGUGCGGGAAGAAGGCCUUCGGGUUGUAAACCGCUUUUGUCAGGGAAGAAAUCUUCUGAGUUAAUACCUCGGGAGGAUGACGGUACCUGAAGAAUAAGCACCGGCUAACUACGUGCCAGCAGCCGCGGUAAUACGUAGGGUGCAAGCGUUAAUCGGAAUUACUGGGCGUAAAGCGUGCGCAGGCGGUUUUGUAAGACAGAGGUGAAAUCCCCGGGCUCAACCUGGGAACUGCCUUUGUGACUGCAAGGCUUGAGUGCGGCAGAGGGGGAUGGAAUUCCGCGUGUAGCAGUGAAAUGCGUAGAUAUGCGGAGGAACACCGAUGGCGAAGGCAAUCCCCUGGGCCUGCACUGACGCUCAUGCACGAAAGCGUGGGGAGCAAACAGGAUUAGAUAGCCCUGGUAGUCCACGCCCUAAACGAUGUCAACUGGUUGUUGGGAAGGUUCCUUCUCAGUAACGUAGCUAACGCGUGAAGUUGACCGCCUGGGGAGUACGGCCGCAAGGUUG